ACGGGGCCUUUAAGGAGU
rnacentral:miRNA from 1 species